rnacentral:rRNA from 1 species
GUCCACGCCGUAAACGGUGGGCGCUAGGUGUGGGUUCCUUCCACGGGAUCUGUGCCGUAGCUAACGCAUUAAGCGCCCCGCCUGGGGGAGUACGGCCGCAAGGCUAAAACUCAAAGGAAUUGACGGGGGCCCGCACAAGCGGCGGAGCAUGUGGAUUAAUUCGAUGCAACGCGAAGAACCUUACCUGGGUUUGACAUACACCGGAAAGCCGUAGAGAUACGGCCCCCCUUGUGGUCGGUGUACAGGUGGUGCAUGGCUGUCGU